GCGGGCGUAACUCAGUUGGUAGAGUGUCAGCUUCCCAAGCUGAAUGUCGCCGGUUCGAGUCCGGUCGCCCGCUCCA
rnacentral:tRNA from 1 species